AUUGAACGCUGGCGGCAGGCCUAACACAUGCAAGUCGAACGAGUGGCGGACGGGUGAGUAAUGUCUGGGAACCUGCCUGAUGGAGGGGGAUAACUACUGGAAACGGUAGCUAAUACCGCAUACCAUCAGAUGUGCCCAGAUGGGAUUAGCUGGUGGGGGGGGUAAAGGCUCACCAAGGCCACGAUCCCUAGCUGGUCUGAGAGGAUGACCAGCAACACUGGAACUGCGACACGGCCCAGACCCCUACGGGAGGCGGCAGUGGGAAAUAUUGGAAAAUGGGGGAAGGCCUGACGCGGCCAUGCCGCGUGUAUGAGGAAGGCCUUCGGGUUGUAAAGUACGUUCAGCGGGGAGGCGUUACCCGCAGAAGAAGCACCGGCUAACUCCGUGCCAGCAGCCGCGGUAAUAC
rnacentral:rRNA from 1 species